GGGCUAGUGGCGGAAUGGCAUACGCGCGAGUCUCAAAAACUCGUUCCCGAAAGGGAUUGUGGGUUCGAGUCCCACCUGGCCUAC
rnacentral:tRNA from 1 species